rnacentral:lncRNA from 1 species
AGGACCGAAUCGGACCGGAAUCAGGGAGUUGUCACGGUCGAUCGGACCUGUUGGAGUGGUUGAACCGCCGGCUGUGGUGGGCCUGGGGUCCGUGGAUGGUAAGUGCAUUUAUUACCGAAUGAACCGGCGGUCAGGGAGAGCCAUACGCUCUGAUGGUUCAUUGAUCCGGAGAUCGUCUUGGGCCGCGCUCAUUAAAUGACUGGGUGCAUCGGAGACUUGAGGGAGUCUCAUGCAUUAAUGGCAGGUCGUGCCGAAUACCUGCAGAGAUCUUAUGCCUUGAUGGC